GCAGGAGCCCAAUGGACAGGAAUAGUGACAACGAUUGCGGUUGAGAUGCUAAAGGCAAAUAUGGUUGAUGCUGUGGUUUGUGUACAAAGGCACCUAAACAACAAUCAAAUAUUACAUAAUUGCUUUCCGUUGCAAAAGGAUUUUUUUCAUGGUCUUGAGAAAACUGUUGUUUGUCUCCUCUGCAGUGACCCAGAUGACAGGCUUGCUCCAAUGCCUGUUUUAGCCAGGUAGGUACUAAGACAAUGGUUGCUUGCUACUUCAGAUUUUUUUUUUUUUCAUAUGGCUUGUGCUUACAACUUCUUACUUAAAGUACAUUUGCAUUUUACACUUAUAUGGUUUUAUGGUCCAUGAGGAGGUAACAUGAGAUACCACAUUUUGUAGUAUAAAUUUUGGCACUUCCCAAUAUCUGUGAUAGAAGAUGAGGUACCUCUCGGUAUCUCCUCAAGGACCAUAGAAUCACUCAAAAGUAAAAACCUUGCUUCCAGUCUACUGAUUAACUACUUGUGCUGCUCAUGCUUGCUAGAAUUGAAGCAAAAUUUGAUUGAUCAACUAUUAUCUCGUAGGAC
rnacentral:lncRNA from 1 species